rnacentral:rRNA from 1 species
UACGUAGGGGGCAAGCGUUAUCCGGAUUUACUGGGUGUAAAGGGAGCGUAGGCGGUGAUGCAAGUCAGAAGUGAAAGCCCGCAGCUCAACUGCGGGACUGCUUUUGAAACUGUAUGACUAGAUUGCAGGAGAGGUAAGUGGAAUUCCUAGUAUAGCGGUGAAAUGCGUAGAUAUUAGGAGGAACACCAGUGGCGAAGGCGGCUUACUGGACUGUAACUGACGUUGAGGCUCGAAAGCGUGGGGAGCAAACAGG